GGAGUUAUAGCUCAGUUGGUUAGAGCGCAGCAUUGACAUUGCUGAGGCCGGAGGUUCGAAUCCCCCUAACUCCACCA
rnacentral:tRNA from 1 species